CCUACGGGCGGCAGCAGUGGGGAAUAUUGGACAAUGGGGGGAACCCUGAUCCAGCCAUGCCGCGUGUGUGAAGAAGGCCCUCGGGUUGUAAAGCACUUUCAGUGAGGAAGAACGCCUGGUGGUUAAUACCCAUCAGGAAAGACAUCACUCACAGAAGAAGCACCGGCUAACUCCGUGCCAGCAGCCGCGGUAAUACGGAGGGUGCGAGCGUUAAUCGGAAUUACUGGGCGUAAAGCGCGCGUAGGUGGCUUGAUAAGCCGGUUGUGAAAGCCCCGGGCUCAACCUGGGAACGGCAUCCGGAACUGUCAAGCUAGAGUGCAGGAGAGGAAGGUAGAAUUCCCGGUGUAGCGGUGAAAUGCGUGGAGAUCGGGAGGAAUACCAGUGGCGAAGGCGGCCUUCUGGACUGACACUGACACUGAGGUGCGAAAGCGUGGGUAGCAAACAGGAUUAGAUACCCCUGUAGUC
rnacentral:rRNA from 1 species